GGAAGAUUUGCUACUCAGGGGAGCUAGACAAGUGACCAACCAGUAACUACAUGGCAGAUAACUGUCACUGAAAUGUUAAGUGGGGUUUUAAACGAACCACAUGGGAUGCUGCAAGAUUACACAACUUCAGACUCCUCAGUGGUUGCACAGAGUGCAACAAAGUGUCGGGGAGAGAACAAGAUGGCUGCUCCACGCGAAAAGCAAGCCUCAGCAGUACUCUGGCCUAGUUAAAGCCCAGGCGCUCUUCUCCUUGCACCCAAAUGGACCACACUUGAGAAAUUAAAUAAACAGCAUUUGUCAGGGG
rnacentral:lncRNA from 1 species